rnacentral:rRNA from 1 species
AUACGGAGGAUCCGAGCGUUAUCCGGAUUUAUUGGGUUUAAAGGGUGCGCAGGCGGCCAUUUAAGUCAGCGGUUAAAUCGUGGGGCUCAACCCCAUUCUGCCGUUGAUACUGGGUGGCUUGAUUGCGGUCGAGGUUGGCGGAAUUCGUUGUGUAGCGGUGAAAUGCAUAGAUAUGACGAAGAACACCGAUUGCGUAGGCAGCUGACCAGACCGCAAAUGACGCUCAUGCACGAAAGUGCGGGGAUCGAACAGGAUUAGAUACCCAGGUAGUCCGCACAGUAAACGAUGAAUACUUGUUUUCGGCGAUAUAAUGUCGGAGGCAAAGCGAAAGCGAUAAGUAUUCCACCUGGGGAGUACGACCGCAAGGUUGGAACUCAAAUGAAUUGGCGGGG